rnacentral:misc_RNA from 1 species
UGACACUUAAAUAAUAUCGGUAAAGACUUUAUCUCUCUUUAUUAAUGUCAGUAAUUAAUGCCGCUAAAAGUUGUUUCUGUUGAAAUGCUUCCUCCCUCCACAUGAUUUCAAAGGGUUUGCGAAGCCUACUAGUUGUAAUCCUCAAGAAAUAUGUCUAAUCCACACAAUUCUAAAGGUUAACAGGUAGAUAAACAGGGAAAUUCACCACUUCGUAUCCCUGUUUCAAACCACUUGAUA